rnacentral:rRNA from 1 species
GACGAACGCUGGCGGCGUGCCUAAUACAUGCAAGUAGAACGCUGAAGAGAGGAGCUUCCUCUUCUUGGAUGAGUUGCGAACGGGUGAGUAGCGCGUAGGUAACCUGCCUUGUAGCGGGGGAUAACUAUUGGAAACGAUAGCUAAUACCGCAUAACAAUGGAUGACACAUGUCAUUUAUUUGAAAGGGGCAAUUGCUCCACUACAAGAUGGACCUGCGUUGUAUUAGCUAGUAGGUGAGGUAAUGGCUCACCUAGGCGACGAUACAUAGCCGACCUGAGAGGGUGAUCGGCCACACUGGGACUGAGACACGGCCCAGACUCCUACGGGAGGCAGCAGUAGGGAAUCUUCGGCAAUGGGGGCAACCCUGACCGAGCAACGCCGCGUGAGUGAAGAAGGGUUUCGGAUCGUAAAGCUCUGUUGUAAGUCAAGAACGGGUGUGAGAGUGGAAAGUUCACACUGUGACGGUAGCUUACCAGAAAGGGACGGCUAACUACGUG